rnacentral:rRNA from 1 species
AGAGUUUGAUCAUGGCUCAGAACGAACGCUGGCGGCGUGCUUAACACAUGCAAGUCUAACGAGAAAGCUUCCUUCGGGGAGUUAGUAAAGUGGCGCACGGGUGAGUAACACGUGGGUAACCUACCCUUCAGUUUGGGAUAACAUUUCGAAAGGGAUGCUAAUACCAAAUACGUUCAAAAAGGCUUCGGCUUUAUUGGAGAAAGAUGGCCUCUAUACUAUGCUGUUGCUGAUGGAUGGGCCCGCGUACCAUUAGCUAGUUGGUAAGGUAACGGCUUACCAAGGCUACGAUGGUUAGCUGGUCUGAGAGGAUGAUCAGCCACACUGGUACUGGAACACGGACCAGACUCCUACGGGAGGCAGCAGUGGGGAAUAUUGCGCAAUGGGGGCAACCCUGACGCAGCAACGCCGCGUGAGUGAUGAAGGCCUUUGGGUCGUAAAGCUCUGUCAGAGGGGAAGAAGGUGCUGGGGUUAAUACCCCUGGUUACUUGACGGUACCCUCAAAGGAAGCACCGGCUAACACCGUGCCAGCAGCCGCGGUAAUACGGGGGGUGCAAGCGUUGUUCGGAAUUACUGGGCGUAAAGGGCGCGUAGGCGGCUAUUUAAGUCANAUGUGAAAGCCCAGGGCUCAACCCUGNAACUGCAUUUGAAACUGAGUGGCUUGAGUACGGGAGAGGGAAGUGGAAUUCCAAGUGUAGAGGUGAAAUUCGUAGANNUUUGGAGGAACACCAGUGGCGAAGGNGGCUUCCUGGACCGAUACUGACGCUGAGGNNCGAAAGCGUGGGGAGCAAACAGGAUUAGAUACCCUGNAGUCNNNNCUGUAAACGAUGUACACUAG